CCGGAAACCUCGGUUCCCUGACUUCAAACUGUCCUUGAUCGGCCACUCGAUGGUGACAGCCUAUGUUCAGAAAAUGACGCACUGCUUUCCUGAUUGCUAUUCAUUGAUAGGUACUUCAGUCGAAUUCACCAACGUCAUUGUCUUAGAAUGUUAAUAAAUGUUCUUUGGUCUUGUAA